GUGAACGCUGGCGGUAGGCCUAACACAUGCAAGUCGAACGGCAGGACAGUAAGAGCUUGCUCUUACGGGUGGCGAGUGGCGGACGGGUGAGGAAUACAUCGGAAUCUACUUUUUCGUGGGGGAUAACGUAGGGAAACUUACGCUAAUACCGCAUACGACCUACGGGUGAAAGCAGGGGAUCUUCGGACCUUGCGCGAUUGAAUGAGCCGAUGUCGGAUUAGCUAGUUGGCGGGGUAAAGGCCCACCAAGGCGACGAUCCGUAGCUGGUCUGAGAGGAUGAUCAGCCACACUGGAACUGAGACACGGUCCAGACUCCUACGGGAGGCAGCAGUGGGGAAUAUUGGACAAUGGGCGCAAGCCUGAUCCAGCCAUACCGCGUGGGUGAAGAAGGCCUUCGGGUUGUAAAGCCCUUUUGUUGGGAAAGAAAAGCAGCAGGUUAAUACCCCGCUGUUCUGACGGUACCCAAAGAAUAAGCACCGGCUAACUUCGUG
rnacentral:rRNA from 1 species